GACGAACGCUGGCGGCGUGCUUAACACAUGCAAGUCGAACGGAAAGGCCCUGCUUUUGUGGGGUGCUCGAGUGGCGAACGGGUGAGUAACACGUGAGUAACCUGCCCUUGACUUUGGGAUAACUUCAGGAAACUGGGGCUAAUACCGGAUAGGAGCUCCUGCUGCAUGGUGGGGGUUGGAAAGUUUCGGCGGUUGGGGAUGGACUCGCGGGUUAUCAGCUUGUUGGUGGGGUAGUGGCUUACCAAGGCUUUGACGGGUAGCCGGCCUGGGAGGGUGACCGGCCACAUUGGGACUGAGAGACGGACCAGACUCCUACGGGAGGCAGCAGUGGGGAAUAUUGCACAAUGGGCGGGAGCCUGAUGCAGCAACGCCGCGUGCGGGAAGACGGCCUUCGGGUUGUAAACCGCUUUCGCCUGUGACGAAGCGUGAGUGACGGUAAUGGGUAAAGAAGCACCGGCUAACUACGUG
rnacentral:rRNA from 1 species